rnacentral:rRNA from 1 species
GAUGAACGCUGGCGGCGUGCCUAAUACAUGCAAGUCGAGCGAACGGACGAGAAGCUCGCUUCUCUGAUGUUAGCGGCGGACGGGUGAGUAACACGUGGAUUACCUACCUAUAAGACUGGGAUAACUUCGGGAAACCGUAGCUAAUACCGGAUAAUAUUUUGAACCGCAUGGUUCAAAAGUGAAAGACGGUCUUGCUGUCCCUUAUAGAUGGAUCCGCGCUGCAUUAGCUAGUUGGUAAGGUUACGGCUUACCAAGGCAACGAUGCAUAGCCGACCUGAGAGGGGGAUCGGCCACACUGGAAGGGAGACACGGUCCAGACUCCUACGGGAGGGAGCAGUAGGGAAUCUUCCGCAAUGGGCGAAAGCCUGACGGAGCAACGCCGAGUGAGUGAUGGAGGUCUUGGGAGCGUGAUGCUCUGUUAUGAGGGAAGAACAUAUGUGUAAGUGACUGUGCACAUCUUGACGGUACCUAAUCAGAGAGACACCGCUAAAUUCGUG